UGAUACAGUGAAACUGCGAAUGGCUCAUUAAAUCAGUUAUCGUUUAUUUGAUAGUACCUUACUACUUGGAUAACCGUGGUAAUUCUAGAGCUAAUACAUGCUUAAAAUCCCGACUGUUUGGAAGGGAUGUAUUUAUUAGAUAAAAAAUCAAUGCCUUCGGGCUCUUUGAUGAUUCAUAAUAACUUUUCGAAUCGCAUGGCCUUGUGCUGGCGAUGGUUCAUUCAAAUUUCUGCCCUAUCAACUUUCGAUGGUAGGAUAGUGGCCUACCAUGGUUUCAACGGGUAACGGGGAAUAAGGGUUCGAUUCCGGAGAGGGAGCCUGAGAAACGGCUACCACAUCCAAGGAAGGCAGCAGGCGCGCAAAUUACCCAAUCCCGACACGGGGAGGUAGUGACAAUAAAUAACGAUACAGGGCCCUUUCGGGUCUUGUAAUUGGAAUGAGUACAAUGUAAAUACCUUAACGAGGAACAAUUGGAGGGCAAGUCUGGUGCCAGCAGCCGCGGUAAUUCCAGCUCCAAAAGCGUAUAUUAAAGUUGUUGCAGUUAAAAAGCUCGUAGUUGAACCUUGGGCUUGGCUGGCCGGUCCAUCUUUUUGAUGCGUACUGGACCCAGCCGAGCCUUUCCUUCUGGCUAGCCUUUUAUGGCGAACCAGGACUUUUACUUUGAAAAAAUUAGAGUGUUCAAAGCAGGCCUUUGCUCGAAUAUAUUAGCAUGGAAUAAUAGAAUAGGACGUUAUGGUUCUAUUUUGUUGGUUUCUAGGACCAUCGUAAUGAUUAAUAGGGACGGUCGGGGGUAUCAGUAUUCAGUAGUCAGAGGUGAAAUUCUUGGAUUUACUGAAGACUAACUACUGCGAAAGCAUUUACCAAGGACGUUUUCAUUAAUCAAGAACGAAAGUUAGGGGAUCGAAGAUGAUCAGAUACCGUCGUAGUCUUAACCAUAAACUAUGCCGACUAGGGAUCGGUUGUUGUUCUUUUUUAUUGACGCAAUCGGCAC
rnacentral:rRNA from 1 species